UGAGGAAUAUUGGUCAAUGGACGAGAGUCUGAACCAGCCAAGUAGCGUGAAGGAUGACCGCCCUAUGGGUUGUAAACUUCUUUUAUACGGGAAUAAAGUUAGCCACGUGUGGCUUUUUGUAUGUACCGUAUGAAUAAGGAUCGGCUAACUCCGUGCCAGCAGCCGCGGUAAUACGGAGGAUCCGAGCGUUAUCCGGAUUUAUUGGGUUUAAAGGGAGCGUAGGCGGGUUGUUAAGUCAGUUGUGAAAGUUUGCGGCUCAACCGUAAAAUUGCAGUUGAUACUGGCGACCUUGAGUGCAACAGAGGUAGGCGGAAUUCGUGGUGUAGCGGUGAAAUGCUUAGAUAUCACGAAGAACUCCGAUUGCGAAGGCAGCUUACUGGAUUGUAACUGACGCUGAUGCUCGAAAGUGUGGGUAUCAAACAGGAUUAGAUACCCUGGUAGUCCACACAGUAAACGAUGAAUACUCGCUGUUGGCGAUAUACGGUCAGCGGCCAAGCGAAAGCAUUAAGUAUUCCACCUGGGGAGUACGCCGGCAACGGUGAAACUCAAAGGAAUUGACGGGGGCCCGCACAAGCGGAGGAACAUGUGGUUUAAUUCGAUGAUACGCGAGGAACCUUACCCGGGCUUAAAUUGCAACUGACUGAACCGGAAACGGUUCUUUCUUCGGACAGUUGUGAAGGUGCUGCAUGGUUGUCGUCAGCUCGUGCCGUGAGGUGUCGGCUUAAGUGCCAUAACGAGCGCAACCCUUAUCGAUAGUUACUAGCAGGUCAUGCUGAGGACUCUAUUGAGACUGCCGUCGUAAGAUGUGAGGAAGGUGGGGAUGACGUCAAAUCAGCACGGCCCUUACGUCCGGGGCUACACACGUGUUACAAUGGGGGGUACAGAAGGCAGCUACACGGCGACGUGGUGCUAAUCCCGAAAGCCUCUCUCAGUUCGGAUUGGAGUCUGCAACCCGACUCCAUGAAGCUGGAUUCGCUAGUAAUCGCGCAUCAGCCACGGCGCGGUGAAUACGUUCCC
rnacentral:rRNA from 1 species